GCAAACUUGGUCAUUUAGAGGAAGUAAAAGUCGUAACAAGGUUUCCGUAGGUGAACCUGCGGAAGGAUCAUUAUUGAAAGGUUUUGGGGGAAUUACUGUUGCUGGCCCUUGGGCAUGUGCACGUAUUUCUCCUAAUCUCAUUUCAUCCACCUGUGCACUUUUUGUAGGAGUUUGUCUUUUUCGUGGAAUUGGCACUUGUAUUCAUUUACUUGUCAAUCUUUGAAAGGGGACUACUUCUAUGUCUUUAUGAACUCAUGUAUGUUAUAGAAUGUCAUUUUAUUGGGACUUAGUUGACCCUUUAAAAGUUUUGUACAACUUUCAGCAACGGAUCUCUUGGCUCUCCCAUCGAUGAAGAACGCAGC
rnacentral:misc_RNA from 1 species